rnacentral:misc_RNA from 1 species
GUGAAAUGUCCGCAGGUGAUCUUGAUACAGUAUACAAGCUCAUCGUAUCGAAGGAAAAGCUUCUGCGCAUUGACGAGCUUGAAGAAAAGCUUGGCUAUAGCGAAGACGGCAGAAAAUGGAGAUACAGCAGAGACGGAGAGCCAGAUGGCGGUAGCAGCUAUGGACGGCAUUAUGUGAGGGCACACUACAGCAGAGACGGCAGAGGACGCUACA